AUUGAACGCUGGCGGCAUGCCUUACACAUGCAAGUCGAACGGUAACAGGUUAAGCUGACGAGUGGCGAACGGGUGAGUAAUGUAUCGGAACGUGCCCAGUCGUGGGGGAUAACUGCUCGAAAGAGCAGCUAGUACCGCAUACGACCUGAGGGUGAAAGCGGGGGAUCGCAAGACCUCGCGCGAUUGGAGCGGCCGAUAUCAGAUUAGGUAGUUGGUGGGGUAAAGGCCUACCAAGCCUACGAUCUGUAGCUGGUCUGAGAGGACGACCAGCCACACUGGGACUGAGACACGGCCCAGACUCCUACGGGAGGCAGCAGUGGGGAAUUUUGGACAAUGGACGCAAGUCUGAUCCAGCCAUGCCGCGUGCGGGAAGAAGGCCUUCGGUUGUAGACCGCUUUGUC
rnacentral:rRNA from 1 species